CCUACGGGAGGCAGCAGUGAGGAAUAUUGGUCAAUGGCCGGAAGGCUGAACCAGCCAUGCCGCGUGAAGGUCAGUGCCCUAUGGGCGUUAAACUUCUUUUGUGCGGGAGCAAUAAUGGUCACGUGUGGCCAGACGAGAGUACCGUACGAAUAAGCAUCGGCUCACUCCGGGCCAGCAGCCGCGGGAAUACGGGGGAUGCAAGCGUUGUCCGGAUUUUUUGGGUGUAACGGGUGCGUAGGCUGUGAGGUAAGUCAGCGGUGAAAUGCCCCCGCUCAACGGGGUGAAGUGCCAUUGAUACUGCCAUUCUGGAAUGCGAAUGCCGUGUGAGGAAUGUGUGGUGUAGCGGUGAAAUGCAUAGAUAUCACACAGAACACCGAUUGCGAAGGCAUCUCACGAAUCCGCGAUUGACGCUGAUGCACGAAAGCGUGGGUAUCAAACAGGAUUAGAUACCCCUGUAGUC
rnacentral:rRNA from 1 species